UUAAGCGACUAAGCGUACACGGUGGAUGCCCUGGCAGUCAGAGGCGAUGAAGGACGUGCUAAUCUGCGAUAAGCGUCGGUGAGGUGAUAUGAACCGUUAUAACCGGCGAUUUCCGAAUGGGGAAACCCAGUGUGUUUCGACACACUAUCAUUAACUGAAUCCAUAGGUUAAUGAGGCGAACCGGGGGAACUGAAACAUCUAAGUACCCCGAGGAAAAGAAAUCAACCGAGAUUCCCCCAGUAGCGGCGAGCGAACGGGGAGGAGCCCAGAGCCUGAAUCAGUGUGUGUGUUAGUGGAAGCGUCUGGAAAGGCGCGCGAUACAGGGUGACAGCCCCGUACACAAAAAUGCACAUGCUGUGAGCUCGAUGAGUAGGGCGGGACACGUGGUAUCCUGUCUGAAUAUGGGGGGACCAUCCUCCAAGGCUAAAUACUCCUGACUGACCGAUAGUGAACCAGUACCGUGAGGGAAAGGCGAAAAGAACCCCGGCGAGGGGAGUGAAAAAGAACCUGAAACCGUGUACGUACAAGCAGUGGGAGCCUCUUUAUGGGGUGACUGCGUACCUUUUGUAUAAUGGGUCAGCGACUUAUAUUCUGUAGCAAGGUUAACCGAAUAGGGGAGCCGAAGGGAAACCGAGUCUUAACUGGGCGUUAAGUUGCAGGGUAUAGACCCGAAACCCGGUGAUCUAGCCAUGGGCAGGUUGAAGGUUGGGUAACACUAACUGGAGGACCGAACCGACUAAUGUUGAAAAAUUAGCGGAUGACUUGUGGCUGGGGGUGAAAGGCCAAUCAAACCGGGAGAUAGCUGGUUCUCCCCGAAAGCUAUUUAGGUAGCGCCUCGUGAAUUCAUCUCCGGGGGUAGAGCACUGUUUCGGCAAGGGGGUCAUCCCGACUUACCAACCCGAUGCAAACUGCGAAUACCGGAGAAUGUUAUCACGGGAGACACACGGCGGGUGCUAACGUCCGUCGUGAAGAGGGAAACAACCCAGACCGCCAGCUAAGGUCCCAAAGUCAUGGUUAAGUGGGAAACGAUGUGGGAAGGCCCAGACAGCCAGGAUGUUGGCUUAGAAGCAGCCAUCAUUUAAAGAAAGCGUAAUAGCUCACUGGUCGAGUCGGCCUGCGCGGAAGAUGUAACGGGGCUAAACCAUGCACCGAAGCUGCGGCAGCGACGCUUAUGCGUUGUUGGGUAGGGGAGCGUUCUGUAAGCCUGUGAAGGUGUGCUGUGAGGCAUGCUGGAGGUAUCAGAAGUGCGAAUGCUGACAUAAGUAACGAUAAAGCGGGUGAAAAGCCCGCUCGCCGGAAGACCAAGGGUUCCUGUCCAACGUUAAUCGGGGCAGGGUGAGUCGACCCCUAAGGCGAGGCCGAAAGGCGUAGUCGAUGGGAAACAGGUUAAUAUUCCUGUACUUGGUGUUACUGCGAAGGGGGGACGGAGAAGGCUAUGUUGGCCGGGCGACGGUUGUCCCGGUUUAAGCGUGUAGGCUGGUUUUCCAGGCAAAUCCGGAAAACCAAGGCUGAGGCGUGAUGACGAGGCACUACGGUGCUGAAGCGACAAAUGCCCUGCUUCCAGGAAAAGCCUCUAAGCAUCAGGUAACAUCAAAUCGUACCCCAAACCGACACAGGUGGUCAGGUAGAGAAUACCAAGGCGCUUGAGAGAACUCGGGUGAAGGAACUAGGCAAAAUGGUGCCGUAACUUCGGGAGAAGGCACGCUGAUAUGUAGGUGAAGCGACUUGCUCGUGGAGCUGAAAUCAGUCGAAGAUACCAGCUGGCUGCAACUGUUUAUUAAAAACACAGCACUGUGCAAACACGAAAGUGGACGUAUACGGUGUGACGCCUGCCCGGUGCCGGAAGGUUAAUUGAUGGGGUUAGCGGCAACGCGAAGCUCUUGAUCGAAGCCCCGGUAAACGGCGGCCGUAACUAUAACGGUCCUAAGGUAGCGAAAUUCCUUGUCGGGUAAGUUCCGACCUGCACGAAUGGCGUAAUGAUGGCCAGGCUGUCUCCACCCGAGACUCAGUGAAAUUGAACUCGCUGUGAAGAUGCAGUGUACCCGCGGCAAGACGGAAAGACCCCGUGAACCUUUACUAUAGCUUGACACUGAACAUUGAGCCUUGAUGUGUAGGAUAGGUGGGAGGCUUUGAAGUGUGGACGCCAGUCUGUAUGGAGCCGACCUUGAAAUACCACCCUUUAAUGUUUGAUGUUCUAACGUUGGCCCGUAAUCCGGGUUGCGGACAGUGUCUGGUGGGUAGUUUGACUGGGGCGGUCUCCUCCUAAAGAGUAACGGAGGAGCACGAAGGUUGGCUAAUCCUGGUCGGACAUCAGGAGGUUAGUGCAAUGGCAUAAGCCAGCUUGACUGCGAGCGUGACGGCGCGAGCAGGUGCGAAAGCAGGUCAUAGUGAUCCGGUGGUUCUGAAUGGAAGGGCCAUCGCUCAACGGAUAAAAGGUACUCCGGGGAUAACAGGCUGAUACCGCCCAAGAGUUCAUAUCGACGGCGGUGUUUGGCACCUCGAUGUCGGCUCAUCACAUCCUGGGGCUGAAGUAGGUCCCAAGGGUAUGGCUGUUCGCCAUUUAAAGUGGUACGCGAGCUGGGUUUAGAACGUCGUGAGACAGUUCGGUCCCUAUCUGCCGUGGGCGCUGGAGAACUGAGGGGGGCUGCUCCUAGUACGAGAGGACCGGAGUGGACGCAUCACUGGUGUUCGGGUUGUCAUGCCAAUGGCACUGCCCGGUAGCUAAAUGCGGAAGAGAUAAGUGCUGAAAGCAUCUAAGCACGAAACUUGCCCCGAGAUGAGUUCUCCCUGACUCCUUGAGGGUCCUGAAGGAACGUUGAAGACGACGACGUUGAUAGGCCGGGUGUGUAAGCGCAGCGAUGCGUUGAGCUAACCGGUACUAAUGAACCGUGAGGCUUAACCUU
rnacentral:rRNA from 1 species